rnacentral:lncRNA from 1 species
UAAGAACAGUGAAGGAGGUUGCACUGCGAUUCUACAUCUGCUUAUUUCACCAAUUUUUGUAAGUUUAAUUUCCGUUACUUUAUAUCUAUCUGUUUUCCUUUAUGAUUUUGAUCCUUGUCGUUGUUGAUUUUGAUAAUGCUUGGCGUUGUUGUAAUUAAAGUUUUAAUUUCUCCCCUUAUUUUGCUGUGAAUAGCACCUUGUUUGUACAAUAUUCAUAAUUUUUCUAUGGGCUGUUCGACCAUACCAGAGGACCCUUUAACAGAUUGGUUUUUCUUUUGAUGUUAGGAGAGCACUUUUAUUACUAUUUAGGUUUGUCUUUGAAAAAUUAGUGUUUGUUUUAUCUUCUAAGGAAAACUUAUCAAAGCUUUUAAACAUUGUUAGACUUUAAUUUCUUAUUAGUGAAAUUGCAUGGAUGAAGUUGACAGAAUAAAACCGGUUAUACCUUUAGAUGCUGGAUUGCUGGUUAAACCUAUUCAACAUUUUUUUUUUCUUUGGAAAAAUAUGCUAUGCAUUAAUUCUAUGUAAGGGUGGUCAUUUAGUGUAUUUCGAUGUAUAAUGACAAAGUGGAAUUGUUCUUUGGAGAAUAUUUCGUAUAUACAAAUUAAACAUCAAGUAAAGUAAGAUUAUCAUGAUCUGUUUUCUGCUUGAAAUUACUUGUCUUCAAUUGCCUACAGUUAUC